rnacentral:rRNA from 1 species
GAUGAACGCUAGCGGCGGGCUUAAUACAUGCAAGUCGAGGGGCAGCAUGACUGUAGCAAUACAGUUGAUGGCGACCGGCAAACGGGUGCGGAACACGUACAGAACCUUCCUUCGAGCGGGGAAUAGCCCAGAGAAAUUUGGAUUAAUACCCCAUAGUACAACGGAGUGGCAUCACUUUGUUGUUAAAGAUUUAUCACUUGAAGAUGGCUGUGCGGCUGAUUAGGUAGUUGGCGGGGUAACGGACCACCAAGCCUGCGAUCAGUAACUGGUGUGAGAGCACGACCAGUCACACGGGCAAUGAGACACGGGCCCGACUCCUACGGGAGGCAGCAGUAAGGAAUAUUGGUCAAUGGACGAAAGUCUGAACCAGCCAUGCCGCGUGGAGGAUGAAGGUCCUCUGGAUUGUAAACUUCUUUUAUAUGGGACGAAAAAAGGGUUUUCUAACUCGUCUGACGGUACCAUAUGAAUAAGCACCGGCUAACUCCGUGCCAGCCGCCGCGGUAACAC